rnacentral:pre_miRNA from 1 species
AGGUUGUCAAUUUUAUCACCCUAAUAUAAACUAUAUAGCACAAAAAUUAUACCGUUUGAAAAUAGAACAUAUGAAGUUUAUAUUGGUAUAUUUUUUGUAAUAUUUGACUUGUAUUAGGUUGGUCAAAUUGACGACCU